CCGAAGUGGUGGAAUUGGUAGACACGCAAGGUUCAGGGUCUUGUGGGGGUUACCUCGUGGGGGUUCGAGUCCCCCCUUCGGCACCAU
rnacentral:tRNA from 1 species